CACAUGCAAGUCGAACGGAAAGGCCCAGCUUGCUGGGUACUCGAGUGGCGAACGGGUGAGUAACACGUGGGUGAUCUGCCCUGCACUCUGGGAUAAGCCUGGGAAACUGGGUCUAAUACCGGAUAUGACCAACUGUCGCAUGGUGGUUGGUGGAAAGCUUUUGCGGUGUGGGAUGGGCCCGCGGCCUAUCAGCUUGUUGGUGGGGUAAUGGCCUACCAAGGCGACGACGGGUAGCCGACCUGAGAGGGUGAUCGGCCACACUGGGACUGAGACACGGCCCAGACUCCUACGGGAGGCAGCAGUGGGGAAUAUUGCACAAUGGGCGCAAGCCUGAUGCAGCGACGCCGCGUGAGGGAUGACGGCCUUCGGGUUGUAAACCUCUUUCACCAGGGACGAAGCGUGAGUGACGGUACCUGGAGAAGAAGCACCGGCCAACUACGUGCCAGCAGCCGCGGUAAUACGUAGGGUGCGAGCGUUGUCCGGAAUUACUGGGCGUAAAGAGCUCGUAGGCGGUUUGUCGCGUCGUCUGUGAAAUUCUGCACUCAAUUGCAGGCGUGCAGGCGAUACGGGCAGACUUGAGUACUACAGGGGAGACUGGAAUUCCUGGUGUAGCGGUGAAAUGCGCAGA
rnacentral:rRNA from 1 species